GGCAAAAGUCUAGGUAAUUUGAUUGAGGACGCGUUUUGGAACGUUAAUUGCGCAGAAGGAUGCGCAGAAGGAUGCGCAGAACGUCUGUCAGGUGGUAAACGUCGAGAGUGUGAUUUCAGAAAUUUGUUGGAGUUAUUUUUGAUGCUCGAGGCGGCGGCAGUCGAGGAAAAUUUACUACGCUGCGGAGAAUCAUGUCGGUUGGUCAACAACAUAGAAUUCACGACGCUAGCGAAAUCGACAUAACCAAUUGAUUGGAGAUCUAAACAUACAAACAACAAGCAAGAUUUAACAAAAGAAGUCGAAAAUCACUUGGGAAUCUUUGACAGCAUCGCUGACGGGAUUUCAGAGGUUCCUCAAGAUAAUGAUACUACACAAGCAAGGGGAUUUGAAGAAAUCUUCUGUUGCCUGUCCUUUCUUCCACGUUUACAAAAACGUUCUACGUUGAACAUUGAAGUUCAAAUGACGAUAAAAACGUACAACUACAGAUUUAUCCAGAAGAUGACAACCUUUCUUAUUACUCUCGGAUACAUCAUGGCUUUCAUCACCCAUAUGUUAUCGCGGUCCAAUUAAAAUUCAGAUUUACUGGCGGCAGACGUAGUAGCAAUAUUAAGGAUCAGGGAACCAUUUCACGAGCGAAGACGACGUUUCGUUCUCCGUAACCCCUUGCACGGUUAAUGAAGAGUUCGCUAUAUCCCGGGAUGGCAGCUGACGUUGCAUUCAUGCAUGAGAGUGCCGCGUCCCGGUCAUUUGGCCUGUGGUGCGACUAAAAACAAGGCAGCGCUCUCGAGUUUUGUCCCAUCGGUGGCCGGUAACGCGCCUUCCAUGGGGACCAGCAGCAAAAGAAAAUUUCAAAGGGGACCAUCGACCCGCUGGCCCACACAUCGAGUUGCCAGAACAUGCGGAUUAAGCCAUUAAAGCCUGCUUCAAGCUGUUUCGGGGAAAUUCACGAGACAGAGAGUCCGUUAUUGUUACUCUGUCACAAGCAAAACUGCUGUCCGUUUGUUUCGAUACAUGCGACGAAUGAACCGUCGUGUCGCCACGAGAUUAUUAUUGAACCUGCACAUUGAUUCUCUUGCUAUAGGGUAAGGGAGAGAUAUUUGAGUCAAGCUAAGUAAUUCGCCAAAUUAUUUUGUUUACCAACAAUUUGUACGACUUACAUUUGAAAACACAUUAUUUGGCUCUUUUUAACUGACGUGAUAUAUCCUUGUUAAUUCAAAUAGGGCUACCAUAGGGUUAUUUGAAUCAUUUUCUCAUGCAUAAGCAUGUAUGAUAUUUUCUCAUUCUUUCCUUAUUAUAUUCAAGAUUAAUCACGUUUCAUUUGAUUAUUCCAUGCAAAAUUAAAAAUUAAAUUUUAAGAUGUUGAAGAUAUUGACACAAGUAACCCUAACUUACUACCAUACCUAGCUUUAAUAUUCAUAAUUCUACUUUUAAGUUAUGUUCUGAUGUGCAUAUAACAAUCAAGUACUGAUGUGUUUGUGUAAUCCAUCCUUCGGUUUAAUUUCGUGAUUUUCAGUAAAUUUUCAGUAAAAUGUCUAUGUACAUCUUUCAUGUACUAAGAGAUACCUUGAUGUUUAUUUGAAAUUUCUACGAAGAUUCUUAUCGACUCCUCAAGCUCGUAAAAGUAUGCCUUCGUUUCACCGCGUGAAACGACCAACAAAUUACACAACGGUCAGACUUUUACUUGAAUGAGCAAAGAACCGCGAGAACAGCGAUGGUCAAGCACGCGCGAGACCUUCCACGAGAUAAUUUAUUGGUCAAUCAAAAUGACGCAUGGAGGUAUAAGGUGACACGUCAGCGUGCACGGUUGACCAUUAAUUUUAAUACCCGUCACCAUCAGAUCUCCCGACGCUGCUUUCCACGUUGGCUCCCCACUGACGGUGGAGCGUAUCCAUCGGCAUCGGCUACCGUACGACUAAUGCUCCGUUCACUAACGACGAUCAUCCUUGAAGAUCUCGGUCUACCGAUCUCUCACGGUCGCCACGAAUUAUUAUCCUUCUCUUAAUCCUGCGUAGCUGACCCGCCGCACCACCCUAUCGGGUGGCGAUUUUAAUAAUGGAACAAAUCGAAGGAUUAGGCUUUUUGAAUAUAUAGAAAAAAAUUGGGGAACUUAGAGAAACAAACAAAUUUUCGAAACGGAGUUAGAGAUUAGACACAAUCUUUUAUGUGCAACUUCCACAAAAUAACAGCAAAAGAAAUUAUCGUGAAUAUAAUACACUGAUAAAGAGACAAGAGGAUAACGAAGAAAAACGAAAAGCGGAAUAAAUCAAUAAAUACCUACAAUCUUGUGAAAAAUCAUGCAAUUAAGAUACGAUCAGACGAAAGCUGCGAGCUGCCGUCCGAAUAUAUCAAUGGUACGCCAAGAACGCGUCGAGAGGUAUGCAAGCACGGUGCUUAUCUGGUGUCCGAGGCGCGCAACUAGAGAAUUCUAGGACGUUAUUUACGGCUGAUUAACAGGCUCAAUAAUUCCCUUCCGCAUUACUUUAUUGAGUCCCAUGGCCCACGCGCGAUUUGCCUGCGAUUUAUGACGCAAGAUAAACCGAUACCACUGCCUCCUGAUCGGCUCGUUCUAUUGGGCUGAUCUCGUAUGUAAACAGAGGCCGAACCAAACUGACCGGUAAUCUCCGACGAAUUUGCAUCUGGUUCUUUUUCUAAACAGUUCGAGCGAACCAGGUAAUAUGCAGCGUGUUGCAUGCAUAAAAGGGAAACACGCAUACGUUGAAACAACGAAACAAAAUUGUCUUUCACGAGGUUCAAAUCGUGCGAUUCUCGUGAAACGGAAACCAUUUGUUUCCCAACGAUUCAGGGAUUAUUCCAGCUGCAUCUGUUUAACGCGCAUCAUCGACGUUUCAAUCGGUAACACCAGCAUCUACGGUCAACAUCUAAUCCCUAUUCGUUUCAUCGACUAUUCCAAAGUGGCGGAGUAUACGUCAACGUGAAAUGAAUCACGGUAUGCUGAUGGUUCUCGAGACGGAUGCAUAAUUUCGAGGCUUGAAGCUCCCAAGGCUGGUUCCUGUCCCCGCCGCGUUACAGAAGGCGCACACGGUUGCUCAGGAAUGUCGAACGGGUCGGUCACAGGGUUAAUGUUUGCUGCCUCCUCACGUGCCUCUAACUUUUCUCCCUGGUUGUAUCUCAUUUGUAAAGAUUCCGGGACAAAGGAGCCACCAAGAACCGUUUGUGUGGCUUCGCGGCUCGCUUCACCCAUAAGUAGUCUCGACUUGGGCCAUGUACUCCUGCCGGACAGACAGAAGCGCGAGUCUGUCAAGUGGCGCGAUUAUAAUCUGACAGGGACGUAUCGGUUGCCGGCCUUUCUUCCCGAUUCCGAGCAAUCGACAAUAUAUUUUGGAGUCAAGCGUUACUAGGCGCCGAACAUCGAAUAUUUCCAUGACUUACAAGUGACGUAUCGCAUUACAAACAGGGCCAAAUAUUUAUUUUUACGUAUACAUCGCAUGCGAAGGACAUACUGCACGAAAUAUUUGUUAUUGCAUAUUAUGAUUUACACUCACUUUAAGGUUGUCAAGUUUAAUUAUAAUGCCUUAUUUCAGAAUGUACGUGUAAGUAAUCGAAUUUAUGAGAAUCGAUGGAGUUGAGCCUACGUUUGAUGUUCACCAGAUAUCGUUUAAAUUCAACUGAUGAAAUAUUACGGGAUGGUUCAGGUACUCAACUUCUGUCCGUCUCCGACCAUCAGUUCUUGUACGUUCCCGAAAGCGAGGCUGAUCCUUCGGACAUCCUGGACGAUCCUCGGCCGACAACCUUUGGGCUCCAUUAUCGAAAAAGAAAAAUGGGCACUCCAAUACACGAAGAAACCAAUGAAAUUAUUUAUUCUCCAACGUCGACAAACUCUAUCUUCGAUCUUCUUAUUUCCGACCCUAACGAUGGCUAUCUAACUUCAACAUGAUUUCAACUUUUCAUCGGUAAGUUGACUUAAAAGCUUCGACUCUACUAUGAAUUUUCAAUUUUCAGGGACAAAUUCGUACAAACGUCGCGAGUUUCUCAUACUUGUAAGGAUCGUCUACGACCUAUCUUCUGAACGAUUCGUGGGAGAGACGUAACAAGGGAGGUUGGAACAACGCUAGCGGAGGUUAAAUGAUGUAUAAAGUGCGUUAACCGACACCACUCACCGUGCAACACACGCAUAUCGCGUUCACGGUAUAAACGUAGGCGUGGCUGGUUUGAUAUCAACGAUGGCCACCUUUCGACUGUAAAUCAAUCGAUAUCACGCCGGCAGGAGGGGCUUUUCAUAGGGUUUGCACGGGCCUGAAAUACGACUCGAGGGUGGAAGCAUGCGCCAAAUGCUGAAUGUGAAUCGACCCGCCCCGUAACCUUUUAUCCCGACACCGAUCGCCUCUCGCCACUGUCUUUCUCUCUCGCCUACCCACCGGUUCGCCAGUGUCGCGCCGAUAAAUUUCGAUAAACAUCUGGCUCGAUUGAUUCCGUUCCCGGUGUUAAUUAGCUCGCGUCUAGUACCGCUUUCACAGCAUCGAUCGAUUCCGCCGCGUUAAUGUCUUGAGAUCGCGAUCACCUUGUCUCUCGUUUCUUCUUUAGAGAUCUUUUAAUUGGAUUGUUUAUCGAGAUUGUUUGCUCUCUUUCAUUUCUUUUCUUAUUUUUUCCUCAUUAAGGUGGAUUUUCAGUUUCCUUUCCCAUUUAUGAACGGAAAUACUUUUAUUUCCUUUUAUUAAUCAUAGUUUACUUAAGUAAAUAGUUGGAACUUUGUAGAAUUAUAAUUAUAUUAUUAGGAACUCUAUACAAUACUCGAUGUUUGUAUCUUUGAUUAAUAAUUAUUGAUACCACUUAUUAAAAAACUGAAAUGUUAUUUCAAUAUGCACAGAUAUGUAAACUUGGAGUAUACAAUUUUUAUGAAAUACUAUUCCGAGAUUAAAUUUUGACCAGGAUCGAUUCUUGAUGGUUUACAACGAGGAUUUUAAUGCAACUUAACUCUUCAAUGGGACCUAAUUUUGAGACAGUAGAUUGACUGCUGAGGAAACUAGUGAAUUAUUGAACUUUAAUGUUGACAUCAUCUAUCGGAGUACGUUUAAAGUACAAUUGUUAGUUUUGUCUUUAGCCUAGUGUAAUUCAGUUCUUGAAAAGAAUUUUUAAGUUUAAUAUGCCCCGUAUCUAUAAGCAAACAUCAAAUUCCAAGUUUCAGUAUAUUGCUAUCUCAUGCAAAGUCGAAGCCUUUGAUCUUGUAAAAAAGGGCCGUAUCUUAUUCGCUUAUUAGAAACGGAACCGCCGUUAAUUACUUGGAUAAUUCGGUUCAUUGGUGCCGCGUAAUUAUUUAAUCGACUAUUUAUCAGUCCGCAGCAUCGUCGGUGUAUUUGUACAAACGUUUGAAUAAGGUUUAUCCUGACCGGCGACUAAACCAUACAAUCAAGGAAUUAUCUAGGAGCAAAGGAACAGGAUGGAUGUUGAAGAUAGAACAAGUAUACGUUGAUACGUGGCUCAUGAUAGUGGGAAUAUUUAAUUCGAUCUUUAAAUAAUUCUUACAAGGUAUAAGUGCCCGAUAUUGUAUCGAGCCUUCCGUAUUAGCAUAGGUAAAUAAAUAACUAAGUUAUUUUUAAACAGUCUAUCGAGACGACGUUCUCGCUAAGUUGCACUUUAUUUACACGACAA